CCUGAUGCACUGCUGCACACGCAGUCUGCCUUAGCUCUUCUAAGCUCAGGCUGCACUGAGUGGGCUGAGAAAGUCCUGGUUUGUUACCCAUCAGUCCAGUUCAUAUUCAGGAUUAACACAGGUUACAUCCAUGCCUGACGUUCCCAGGGAGCCUGCGUGACCUGGGUGGAUAAACCCAUUUUGUGCAUUGCUGUCACCUGAGUCACAGGUGAUGAGAUCUCUCCUUAAUGAAAAGACAUAUAGAAACACUUAAGAGAUAUCGUGUGGUUAUGCUGGUUUUGUUAACUGGUUUUGCAAUUUCUUAGGGAUUCUUCAUCCUGUUGUUUGGGACUCUUCUGGACAGAAAGGUACUUAUCCUGGAUUAUAUGGACAUUUUCUACACCCUGAGAAACUGGUGUAGAAAAUAUUUAUGUUCUAAUAUUUUUAAAUAUUUACAUUUUAAUUUUUUUUUUUUUAAAUCUGCAGACGAGAGAAGCCUUAAGGAUGAACUGCCUUUCAUCAAGGCGGAAGUGGGGUCUAGAAAAGUCCUAGCAGUGGGCUGUUGUCUUCAGUGGAUCUGACCAGCGAGAAGAAAAGGAGCACUUCUUGCAGAGAGUUGCUAGUUUGAGGGGAGCUGAAGAGCCUGACCAGGUCAGAGCACGGACAGCCCUGUCUGGGAGCACAACCACAGGAAGCAUCAUGAAAACCAGAAGAGAAAAGGCCUGAACCCGCUGUCAGGAGCAGGAAACCAUCAGUGUUGCUGCAGCCUUUGGAAGAAACAUGCUGAAACAUAAAGCUUGUUUCUCACCUUUGUGAAAACUGCUGUGAGGAGAGUUUGUCCUCAUUUGCCAUUUCAGUGCUUCAAUUUCUUUCUUUUGUAUUUUUUCUUCUUUUUUUUUUUUUUUUCCAGUGCAAUAAGGAGCUGUACAGUAUGUGGAGCUGUUCUAAAAUUAUUUAAUUUUUCAUGUGAUGUACAAAUGUUGACCAUUAUAUAGCUGAUUUUGGCUGUCUUUUGAGCAAAACUGAUUCUAUUUGUUGCCAGUGUAUUCAUCAUUUCCAUUUGUCCUCCCAGACUGAUGGACAACUCUCUUUCUGCAUUGCAGCUGUUCUCUCCCUCCCAAUAUUUGUUGUCUCCAUCUCAGUACUUGUGUGUCAGAAGAAUUGUACAAAACCCUUUUCUGAUCUGUCAGAACAGAAUUUUCAUUCUUUUCCCUGUCCUGCAAGACAAUGACAGAGAUGAACAAGAAGGAGGAUGCAAAUAAUCAGUUUCCCCCUUUAGAUGUGUGAAAACAAGCAGAGCUGAAUCAAAUGGAUGGAUAUAAUGUCCUAAUAAAGGAGUUUAUUCCUCCAUGUGAGGUGGGGGUAUCUGGUUUAAUUAGAAAAUCUGUCCUUAUUUUGAGAAACCCUUUUUAGUGAAGGCUUUGAAAGAAGCAUUAUUGACUCUUGUC
rnacentral:lncRNA from 1 species